rnacentral:lncRNA from 1 species
CCACUGCUGAACGGGAAAUUGUCAGGGAUAUCAAGGAAAAGCUUGCGUACGUUGCCCUGGAUUAUGAACAGGAGCUGGAGAAUGCCAAGGGUAGUUCCUCUGUGGAAAAGAGCUAUGAGUUACCUGAUGGGCAGGUCAUCACGAUUGGUGCGGAGAGAUUCAGAUGCCCGGAGGUUCUCUUCCAGCCAUCUCUGAUCGGCAUGGAGGCUGCUGGUAUCCAUGAGACCACUUACAAUUCCAUCAUGAAGUGUGAUGUGGAUAUCAGAAAGGACCUGUAUGGCAACAUCGUUCUCAGUGGUGGUACGACUAUGUUUCCUGGAAUCGCUGACCGCAUGAGCAAGGAGAUCACAGCGCUCGCCCCAAGCAGCAUGAAGAUUAAGGUGGUUGCCCCACCAGAGCGGAAGUACAGUGUCUGGAUUGGAGGCUCCAUCCUUGCUUCGCUCAGCACUUUUCAGCAGGUAAUAUCUUGAUCCACAUUUGCAAAUUAUCAAGAUUCAGAAACGUUUCGCAGCUAUUUCAUGAUCAUAAUUUUUUACUCUUUUUUUGUUUAAUAAUGCACCAGAUGUGGAUCUCCAAGGGCGAAUACGAGGAAUCCGGUCCUUCCAUUGUCCACAGGAAGUGCUUCUGAGUUCCAUGGUCCCCAAGUCACGGUUACUACUCUUCAGGCUGCUUUUCAAGACUGAAUCACGCAAGUCUUUUUCCAAAUUGAUGUGGUUUUGUUGGGGGUAUGUUGGAUUUGCUCGAGCUGUACCUGUACUUUAGGCACCAUAAAUAUAUGUGAACUGCCAUAACAUCACUGCUUAAAAUCUGUUUCUGCAAUGAAGGCUAUUUAUCGGAAGUUGACAAUGGUUGCCUGAG